UGGGGAAUAUUGCACAAUGGAGGAAACUCUGAUGCAGCGACGCCGCGUGAGGGAUGGAGGCCUUCGGGUUGUAAACCUCUUUUAUCGGGGAGCAAGCGAGAGUGAGUUUACCCGUUGAAUAAGCACCGGCUAACUACGUGCCAGCAGCCGCGGUAAUACGUAGGGUGCAAGCGUUAUCCGGAAUUAUUGGGCGUAAAGGGCUCGUAGGCGGUUCGUCGCGUCCGGUGUGAAAGUCCAUCGCUUAACGGUGGAUCCGCGCCGGGUACGGGCGGGCUUGAGUGCGGUAGGGGAGACUGGAAUUCCCGGUGUAACGGUGGAAUGUGUAGAUAUCGGGAAGAACACCAAUGGCGAAGGCAGGUCUCUGGGCCGUUACUGACGCUGAGGAGCGAAAGCGUGGGGAGCGAACAGGAUUAGAUACCCUGGUAGUCCACGCCGUAAACGGUGGAUGCUGGAUGUGGGGCCCGUUCCACGGGUUCCGUGUCGGAGCUAACGCGUUAAGCAUCCCGCCUGGGGAGUACGGCCGCAAGGCUAAAACUCAAAGAAAUUGACGGGGGCCCGCACAAGCGGCGGAGCAUGCGGAUUAAUUCGAUGCAACGCGAAGAACCUUACCUGGGCUUGACAUGUUCCCGACGGUCGUAGAGAUACGGCUUCCCUUCGGGGCGGGUUCACAGGUGGUGCAUGGUCGUCGUCAGCUCGUGUCGUGAGAUGUUGGGUUAAGUCCCGCAACGAGCGCAACCCUCGCCCCGUGUUGCCAGCGGAUUAUGCCGGGAACUCACGGGGGACCGCCGGGGUUAACUCGGAGGAAGGUGGGGAUGACGUCAGAUCAUCAUGCCCCUUACGUCCAGGGCUUCACGCAUGCUACAAUGGCCGGUACAACGGGAUGCGACGCGGCGACGCGGAGCGGAUCCCUGAAAACCGGUCUCAGUUCGGAUCGCAGUCUGCAACUCGACUGCGUGAAGGCGGAGUCGCUAGUAAUCGCGAAUCAGCAACGUCGCGGUGAAUGCGUUCCC
rnacentral:rRNA from 1 species